rnacentral:rRNA from 1 species
CACUUAAGUACUAAUAGACAUCCUAGAUAAAUGGAGUUCUUCACGGAAUACACUGAGGCAAGCCGAUCUCAAAUCCAAGAGAUCAUUGUCAAGGGAGGCUAUGAAGUAGUUGUUGAUGCUUUAGAUACCUAAACUGAGUAGCGGAUACCGAUAAAGAAGAUAAAUGAUGUGUUUUAGUUUGUCUCAUAUGCCACUUGCAUUCUAUGUGAAAUCAAGAUUCUUCGUCUAGUCCAAAACAUAGAUGAGAUCAAACACAUCAUGCUUCCCCCUACCCGAAGGGAGUUCGAAGAUAUUUGUAUUGUUUAUGAGCUUGCAACCCCAUCAUCCAAAACCUUAUCCCAUCCAUGUCUACAUAUAACCAUGAACCAAUGGACACAGAUAUUUUAUGCAUGA